AGAAAAAGCCCUAGUGAUGUGAAGAAACUGAGCUUUCCAAAGCCUGUUCUGUGUUAGAUAUUGUAAAAGAGACUGGAGUUUUCUGUUCGACUGUCUGCCCGUGUUUAGGAGAAAAUGGAAAGAAAAAAGGACUUUUCUAAGUGAAGAGGAAGUAGAGG